rnacentral:rRNA from 1 species
UACGUAGGGUCCGAGCGUUGUCCGGAAUUACUGGGCGUAAAGAGCUCGUAGGCGGUUUGUCGCGUUGUCCGUGAAAACUCACAGCUCAACUGUGGGCGUGCGGGCGAUACGGGCAGACUGGAGUACUGCAGGGGAGACUGGAAUUCCUGGUGUAGCGGUGGAAUGCGCAGAUAUCAGGAGGAACACCGGUGGCGAAGGCGGGUCUCUGGGCAGUAACUGACGCUGGGGAGCGAAAGCGUGGGGAGCGAACAGG